UACAGAGGUCUCAAGCGUUGUUCGGAUUCAUUGGGCGUAAAGGGUGCGUAGGCGGCGCGGUAAGUCGGAUGUGAAAUCUCGGAGCUUAACUUCGAAACUGCAUUCGAUACUGCCGUGCUUGAGGACUGGAGAGGAGACUGGAAUUUACGGUGUAGCGGUGAAAUGCGUAGAUAUCGUAAGGAAGACCAGUGGCGAAGGCGGGUCUCUGGACAGUUCCUGACGCUGAGACACGAAGGCCAGGGGAGCAAACGGG
rnacentral:rRNA from 1 species